rnacentral:rRNA from 1 species
GAUGAACGCUGGCGGCGUGCUUAACACAUGCAAGUCGAACGGUGAAGGCGGAGCUUGCUCUGCUGGAUCAGUGGCGAACGGGUGAGUAACACGUGAGCAAUCUGCCCCUGACUCUGGGAUAAGCGCUGAAAACGGCGUCUAAUACUGGAUACGAGCUGCGAAGGCAUCUUCAGCAGCUGGAAAGAAUUUCGGUCAGGGAUGAGCUCGCGGCCUAUCAGCUUGUUGGUGAGGUAAUGGCUCACCAAGGCGUCGACGGGUAGCCGGCCUGAGAGGGUGACCGGCCACACUGGGACUGAGACACGGCCCAGACUCCUACGGGAGGCAGCAGUGGGGAAUAUUGCACAAUGGGCGAAAGCCUGAUGCAGCAACGCCGCGUGAGGGACGACGGCCUUCGGGUUGUAAACCUCUUUUAGCAGGGAAGAAGCGAAAGUGACGGUACCUGCAGAAAAAGCGCCGGCUAACUACGUG